rnacentral:lncRNA from 1 species
AGCCUGCAGAGUCUUGAGGAGUCCAAAUGGCGAGCCAAGGUGUUGCCUGCAUGUUUGCUCUGGCAUUGCUCCUCGGAGUCUUCGCCUCCAUCCCACAAAGUGAUUCUCCUUCCCUCUCUGAAAUUCUCUCUCUCUCUCUGAAAUUCUUUCUGUCUCGUUAGGUACAGGUUUUGUUUUCUGCUCAUGCAAGAGUCAUAUGCAGGGGAGAUUCUUCAGAGGAAGAAGAUAGUACGUACUAAUAACCGUUAAGUUAGACACAUCAUCAGCUUUCAUUUAAGAGAUGCAUUAGCUAAGCUAGCUAGCCAUGGCAUACGCAAAGGGUCUCACAUCUCUCUCCCUCACCAACGUCAUGUAGUACUUACCUUCUUCUAGUUUCGAGAUGCACAGUACUCUCUUUUUGGUGCAUGUCGCUUUCUUUCUCCGUUUUAUUCUUCCCGCGCUAUCAGUCGCAUGGUAAAGCCUAAACGCCGUCCGGCCGUCUCAUUCUCUAUCUUUGAUGCACCAUCAAUGCACCGGAACAGCAUUUUUUUUAACCCGAUACAGUAAAGUUUGGACAGACCGUUUUAUCUAAAAUAAUCAUGAAACUUGAAUUUGUUAGCCUCGUCUAUUCAAGUUACUUUAUGGUUUCUUUUUAAAAAAAAAAAGUCCUGAUGAACUCUAUUUGUAUAUGCAUGUAGUACCGCAUGCACGCACCAAGAUAAAAGUGCACGUUUAAUCUUGAUGUUGUGUUUUUCCUAGUAAAAUAUUGCAAGAAGCAUAUAUAGGGUUUUCCCAAGGAAAAUAAUAUCUUAUCAUGCAUAGGAUAUUUGUAGUUAGUUUCAACUCUUAAACAUUAAUAGAUUAUAACAAUUAAUAAGAUGGAGAAACCGGUUCAAGUUACUGUGACAAAUUAAGGCUUUCUUGAUGGUACACAAAGCAACAAGCAAAAGCUUGCAAACGAAGCUAGUCAAUUGGUAUGUUCGGUAAGCAUGCAUGUCAGCUGGUCGAGUUAGUUAGUUUCAUAUAGAUAUCCUUUAUAAAGUCAGAAGGUUUAACUAACCAUCUAUAUAUAGCUACCCAGGGUCUCUUUCAUCCCAUCUCUCGAUCAGUGUCAUGUUAGUUACCUAGCAGCCUUUUCUUCUUCUUCCAUCCAUGCAUAUAUGCAAAAUUGUGCCUUGAAAUAUACACGCAGAUAUAUAGCUAGUGCAGUAGGCAUACCACUGUUGACACGGGUCACAUACCCCACACCUGAUAGAUGGUUUGUUGAUCAAUUCCCUGAUUAAUUCGGUGCAACUACUGCGCUUAACCACCCGUCGCUAACAAUCUUUUUUCUUUCUCUCCUUCUAUUCCGGUUCGCGGCCGGUCGCAUCUUGACGUUUUUUCAGCGAUCGAUAUGGUACCGGCCGGCCAGUCCCACUGCUGGUCCUAGCUAGCUAGCUACUUCAUUUGAGCAGCACUAGUACUACUGUUCCAUUCUUUAAGUCUGAUGAAAAUGAUCGAUCGCACCAGCUGCAUCCUUUGCUAGUAACUAACUCACUAGUCUCCUGCUUGUCAUCAUAUUGUCAAAGUACAACACAUCAAUCGAUUGUUGCCACAAGCCAAGGCCGGCCGGCCAGGUGUUGUUUCUGUUGGUGUCUCUGUAGAUAAGUUUCAUCUGCAUGAAACAGAUUGAAAAGAAUAUAACUACGAAGAACAUAUGGUUGAGUAGUUGAGUGUAGGUAGUAGCUAAAACUUGCAAGGCACGUGACAGAGCUAGGCCGUUAAUUGGACACUAGCUCUAGCCGCGGGCGCGCAGGGCAGCAUGCAUGCACGCCAUGGCGAUCCACAUCGACUGUACGUGGACUAUCCAACGGCCGUGCUGCGGACGUUGGACCAGAAACUUAAUUUGUCGCCAGCAUGCAUGUGUAUGAGGUCUACUUUCUCAUGCAUGCUCUGGACAUGUAGCCAAAUACCCAUGUGUACUGGUCGACCCCCCUCCAUAUAUUCCUGGUCCCUUACGAAGUAUAGUACUCCACAUGUAUGUAUAUAUAUAGUCCAUGCUAGAUAUCGAUUAACGAUUGUAUAUAUACUUCAAAAGAAGUACAGUAUUAUAUUUCAAGUAAUUAGAGUAGAUCAGUCAGUUGGUAAACCAAAGCAACUCAGGUAGCUAAGGUCUAGUAAAAGAUUCACUCCAAAGCGCCGUAGUCAAAAGUUCAUUCCUGUCUUUAAGGUUGUCCCUCGAUCGGUCAAGAGCUAAGGCAAGUCAUAUUUAUCUAUCAUUCUAUCCAUCCACCUCCUGUCUCUUUUACAACUCGCGGUCAAGCCGCAAGAACAGCAAUGUUCCUCGGCAUUGUGCGUGCAUCUGACACCAACCCGUGACUGUGAAAAACAAUAAUAAAAUCGCCCGUCAAGCACCAAAGUCUAGACUCUAUUGACUGUUGAGACAGAGAGAGUGAUAAAAUAUGCCAAGCUAGAUAGGAGCUGCACGCAUGCAUGGUUUGCAUGCGUACAAAAUUUCAGUUAAACGUCCUUUUCAGAGAGAGUCAGUAGCAGAAGCAGAGCAGCUUCUUCCCUCGCCAACAGGUCAAAAGCUAUAGGCUGCAUAUAUGCAUCGCCGCCCUUCUUGCUUUUUGCACACCCGUCAACAUCUUUUCUUCGAUUGUUUUUUUUUGAGGGAAAUCUUUUCAUCGAUUGUACUGUAAGCAGGCGAUGCAACAUAACAGUAUUGCUUAUUUUUACAUGAUACUGUAAAUAACCAACAGUAAUUUUUUUUCCUGAAGACGUUACUAAUAACGGGAGUACUAAUUAAACUUACCAUAUUAAUUAACUGCAGGCGUGGAGUCGAUCGGGGUGUGCUACGGCAUGAGCGCCAACAACCUGCCGGCAGCAAACACAGUGGUGGGCAUGUUCAAGUCCAACGGCAUCAACGCCAUGCGCCUCUACGCGCCAGACCAGGCCGCUCUCCAGGCCGUGGGGGGAACAGGCGUCAGCGUGGCCGUGGGCGCCCCCAACGACGUGCUCUCCAACAUCGCCUCCAGCCCGGCCGCGGCCGCCUCCUGGGUGCGCAACAACAUCCAGGCCUACCCGUCAGUCUCCUUCCGCUACGUGGUCGUAGGCAACGAAGUCGCCGGCGGUGCCACGCAGAACCUCGUCCCGGCCAUGAAGAACGUGCACUCGGCCCUGGCUUCCGCGGGCCUGGGCCACAUUAAAGUCACCACUUCGGUGUCCCAGGCCAUUCUGGGAGUCUACAGCCCACCUUCCGCGGGGAGCUUCACGGGCGAGGCCGACGCGUUCAUGGGCCCCGUGGUCCAGUUCCUGGCCUCGGCCGGGU